rnacentral:tmRNA from 1 species
AAAUAACAAAAAUUUCGCUCCCGCUUACGCUAAAGCUGCGUAAGUUUUAUCCUUAAAGGGAGGCUUUGCACUGCGGAUGCUAUCUAUGCGGAUUUAGCAAGGCUCAAAACAAAGAUAGCUCAGGAUGCCUUGUAACCGACGGUUUUCCGAAAUUUAGGUUUGCGCUUUUGUGUAGUUUUCGCGGAUUGAGUGAAACAGAAGCAAAGAUUAAAUCAAUCCUUCUAAGCAUGUAGAGGUUGGGAUGAGGCUUGUUUUUGGACAGGGGUUCAAUUCCCCUCACUUCCACCA